rnacentral:rRNA from 1 species
UGGGGAAUAUUGCACAAUGGGCGCAAGCCUGAUGCAGCCAUGCCGCGUGUGUGAAGAAGGCCUUCGGGUUGUAAAGCACUUUCAGCGAGGAGGAAGGUGGUGAGCUUAAUACGCUCAUCAAUUGACGUUACUCGCAGAAGAAGCACCGGCUAACUCCGUGCCAGCAGCCGCGGUAAUACGGAGGGUGCAAGCGUUAAUCGGAAUUACUGGGCGUAAAGCGCACGCAGGCGGUUUGUUAAGUCAGAUGUGAAAUCCCCGGGCUCAACCUGGGAACUGCAUUUGAAACUGGCAAGCUAGAGUCUCGUAGAGGGGGGUAGAAUUCCAGGUGUAGCGGUGAAAUGCGUAGAGAUCUGGAGGAAUACCGGUGGCGAAGGCGGCCCCCCUGGACGAAGACUGACGCUCAGGUGCGAAAGCGUGGGGCAGCAAACAGGAUUAGAUACCCUGGUAGUCCAGCGCUGUAAACGAUGUCGAUUUGGAGGUUGUGCCCUUGAGGCGUGGCUUCCGGAGCUAACGCGUUAAAUCGACCGCCUGGGGAGUACGGCCGCAAGGUUAAAACUCAAAGGAAUUGACGGGGUCU